UAUCACAUUUCUAUUGGGCCAAAACUAAAUCCUUCUAGGACCUGUCCUCCAUCAUCUUAAUGAAGCAUCUUGAUGAAGGAAAAAUGCAGCAAACUGUUAAAUUAGUCAAUUCAUUCGUGUGUCCUGAGGCGUGGACAGAUUGGUUGUUUUAUAAAAGUACGAUUCUUGUAUUGUUUAUAAAACUUGCUUACGGUUCUCAGCAUGAAAGAGAUUGAUCACAUGCUUAUGUUUUUACA